CGUUGCCAGAUCCAGCGAAGCUGGAUUUAAAACAACUCCACGAAAGAAUUUGCUUUCUGUUGUCAAUUCUAAAUAUUUUUAACUCCUUUCCAGCCAUUGCAGAGUGGCCGGAAUUCAGAAAUCAGAGAAUAUCAGCAGUUUCUGCAAUUAAAUUAGUCAUGGCUGGGCUAGAAGAACCAUGUCGAAUAUGGAAUAUACUUAAGCGUUACGCUUUCUUAAAGAUCUAGUACAUAAAUUCAUUGCGCCAAGUGACAAGUGACCUGUACUGAUUUACAAAAAUGUUCCUCCUGUUUUGUGUUUAUUUGCUGCUGCUGCUGCUUGAAAACUCCCUUGGCCUCGCCCCCAGUGGCUACCGUCCGUGGGGACCGCCCACAUAUAAGAAUUUUUUCAAAGGCCCACAUCGAGUGUUUGGCAACGAAACUGAUGAUCCUCAGGAUUUUCUCGAUGUCCAUCAAUUUAAGUUCAGUUCUUACCCACGCCGAAUUCAGAGACAUAUGUGAUUAAGAUCUUGUUUAUUAAAUGACUCUGCUACAA